rnacentral:rRNA from 1 species
UACGAAGGGGGCUAGCGUUGUUCGGAAUCACUGGGCGUAAAGGGCGCGUAGGCGGCUUUUCAAGUCGGGGGUGAAAGCCUGUGGCUCAACCACAGAAUUGCCUUCGAUACUGCUAGGCUUGAGACCGGAAGAGGUGAGUGGAACUGCGAGUGUAGAGGUGAAAUUCGUAGAUAUUCGCAAGAACACCAGUGGCGAAGGCGGCUCACUGGUCCGGUUCUGACGCUGAGGCGCGAAAGCGUGGGGAGCAAACAGG